UACGUAGGUGGCAAGCGUUUGUCCGGAUUUAUUGGGUUUAAAGGGUGCGUAGGCGGCUUUGUAAGUCAGUGGUGAAAUACGGUAGCUUAACUAUCGAGGUGCCAUUGAUACUGCAGAGCUUGAGUACAGAUGAGGUAGGCGGAAUUGACGGUGUAGCGGUGAAAUGCUUAGAUAUCGUCAAGAACACCUAUAGCGAAGGCAGCUUACUAGGCUGUAACUGACGCUGAGGCACGAAAGUGUAGGGAUCAAACAGG
rnacentral:rRNA from 1 species